rnacentral:tRNA from 1 species
GCCCUCUUCCUUCCAGGUUUUGAAGCGAAGGUUGCAAACCUUUAAUAGCUGGGUAGAACCGGCCGAGACCU